AUGGUUGGCACAUAGGGUUGGCAAGACAGAAUGACACAGAUUUACAACACACGUAAGAAAUGCAUAGGAAGUAGAAAUUGUAAAUAUCUAUAUAAAUGAAAAACAGUAACUAAAAACAUAGCAAAUGGUAAAAAUAUAAAAUCAUCAGUGCUUCAGUAUCUAAAUCGAUUGUGAUGGCCGAAAACAGUUUUCUUUGGUCAAUAAUUUGGUUUGCGAUCCUGGUUUUAGUUUCAUUCUGGGUGGCUGGGUUUGCUGCCCCAAUAUACAUUAUUCUGCUACCUUUCACAGUUUUCAUAACAUCUUUAACGAGUUCAACGGACUUCUUCCUAAAGGCAAUGCAAUUUCCUAGAUUCUGCGCAUAUAAUAUGAAAGAAGGGCUACCAUACUCAUAAGUUCAUAACAAACAUCUCCAAAUGAUGAAAUACCUACACACAAAGAGUUACUGAAACAGACGUGUAUGUAGGCAUAGGUACGAAAUACGUGAAAAUCUGUAAUGGCUUCGACGUUAUAGUGCUUGGCAUGUGAAUUGUAUUGAAAUUACAGUAUUAUAACAAAAAAUACCCGUGAUAGUAAAGCACCCAUAAAAAUUGUAAAAGUAACUGUAAUAAUUUUAAUUAAAAUUUGGUAACGUAUAAGUGACACUGUCAAUGUAUGUAUGAUUAAAGUGUUUUUAUUGA